UGUUAAAAUCAUUAAGCCAAUGUCCUCGAUUUAAUCUUUAAGGUUGACCAGCCAGCAUUGAGUCACCGCAAUCUUCUAAGUCGACAGGAAAAGAAUUGACGUCGUUACCAAACUCCACUGCGCUGCAGUCUACGUGUGUUUGAACUCAAACAGUGGACCACAGACCUGGAUGUUCUGCCCAGUAACAGCACAGAAGUAAAGAUGAUUGAUUCUGCCUGGAAGGUAUAUUGUUAAGUUGACUUACUACUGUUACAGGAAGAAGAAGAGUAAUCCUAGUUUCAGGGCCCUUCACUGUGCUUUCCAGAAGUCCUUGGUGAUGACUUUGAAGUCAGGGUGUGACCCACAG
rnacentral:lncRNA from 1 species